rfam:Triticum aestivum genome assembly, contig: Triticum_aestivum_CS42_TGACv1_scaffold_129281_2BL
GUACUACUCCCUUCGUCCGGAAAUACUUGUCAUCAAAAUGGAUAAAAGAAGAUGUAUCUAGACGUAUUUUAGUUCUAGAUACAUUCAUUUUUAUCCAUUUUGAUGACACGUAUUUUCGGACGGAGGGAGUACAAU